rnacentral:other from 1 species
CAUACUCUGCGGGGUGCGUUGCCGAGUUUCGAUGAUUGAGCCAACGCCAAUUGAAAGGGAGACCGAUGCCGCAUUUCAGGGCCAGUGCAUUCCUUCAGAGUUAAGGAAUUGCCAGAGGCCGCGGCUUAAUAAGAGGUCACCCACCUGUUAAGUGCAGGUUCAAUCCCGGCUUCGGGACGGCUUACGGCGGACUUCCC